rnacentral:rRNA from 1 species
AACCGGAGCUAAUACCGGAUAAUAUUUUGAACCGCAUGGUUCAAAAGUAAAAGACGGUCUUGCUGUCACUUAUAGAUGGAUCCGCGCUGCAUUAGCUAGUUGGUAAGGUAACGGCUUACCAAGGCAACGAUGCAUAGCCGACCUGAGAGGGUGAUCGGCCACACUGGAACUGAGACACGGUCCAGACUCCUACGGGAGGCAGCAGUAGGGAAUCUUCCGCAAUGGGCGAAAGCCUGACGGAGCAACGCCGCGUGAGUGAUGAAGGUCUUCGGAUCGUAAAACUCUGUUAUUAGGGAAGAACAUAUGUGUAAGUAACUGUGCACAUCUUGACGGUACCUAAUCAGAAAGCCACGGCUAACUACGUGCCAGCAGCCGCGGUAAUACGUAGGUGGCAAGCGUUAUCCGGAAUUAUUGGGCGUAAAGCGCGCGUAGGCGGUUUUUUAAGUCUGAUGUGAAAGCCCACGGCUCAACCGUGGAGGGUCAUUGGAAACUGGAAAACUUGAGUGCAGAAGAGGAAAGUGGAAUUCCAUGUGUAGCGGUGAAAUGCGCAGAGAUAUGGAGGAACACCAGUGGCGAAGGCGACUUUCUGGUCUGUAACUGACGCUGAUGUGCGAAAGCGUGGGGAUCAAACAGGAUUAGAUACCCUGGUAGUCCACGCCGUAAACGAUGAGUGCUAAGUGUUAGGGGGUUUCCGCCCCUUAGUGCUGCAGCUAACGCAUUAAGCACUCCGCCUGGGGAGUACGACCGCAAGGUGAAACUCAAAGGAAUUGACGGC